GAUUAAAACUGGAGAAAAUCCGGUGAAUAAUACACCGGAGACAAUCCACUCCCAAUUUUAACAUUGCGGGUGUUAAGUUUUGGCGAUUUUGAACCAUGCAACAAUUAUUGAGCAAUCUAACGCUUUCACUUGAUAACAAGUUGUUUUGACAUGUAUAAUAAAUAUGCAAGCUAUGAUAACUGAUAAGUGAUAACACUACAAAUAUAUUCAAGAAAAACUAGUCAGCCACACAUGCUUCAAUCAAUAUUUUCCAUUUCUAUUCACUCUUAAGCCACAAACCCAAAGAUACUACUUAGUUCACUGUGUACUAGAAAAAGAACUUUCCAUAACAGUCCAUUUGGGAGGGAUUUAUUGCAGUUUUUUGCAGUUUAAUUUGUAAUGUCUUUUUUCUCCCUCCCUGUAUCAACUUUCAACACAAAGUAAAUUUUUCUUGAACUAUCAAAAAUUAUUGGAAUCCAAAAUGGUGGCAUGACAUAGAGAAUCAAUUCAAGUUCAAAGCUACACAUAAGAGAGAGUAGAGAAUCGAUUUCAAAACCAAGAGUCAAACAUCCUUCUAACUCGGGCAAAUAGUUUUGACCACUCUCACUAUCAUUUAAUUUUUACUAAAGUGUAACCAAGCACAUACUAAGUAUAUAAACAUCUUCUAUCCCUCAAUCUAAAUCUAAAAUUAACUAAAGAGGGAUUUGCUUCCCUCCCCUCCUCAUCAAAAUAUUAAACUAAACAAAACAGACCCUAAGUUUAAAGGAGUUGUCCUCUAUUCAAGAGAAAUUGGAAGCAAGAAAUUCAAAAAUUACUCUCAAAUCUCAAGGUCAUUUCCAUGAACAAGUUCAAAGAGAAGCACGGAAUAACCUCACAUUAAAACUACACCAGCCAUUCAUGAAUCUACCCUGCCUAAACAUCAACAUAAAAUUUCACCAGACAUUCAUGAAUCUACCCUGCCUAAACAUCAACAACAUGAACUAACAAAACGAAUAAACAUCACAAUCUACUAUCUUAUAGCUACAAAGUAUCCAUCGCCAUUCACGAGUGCCUAUUUUCUGUCUGAAAAUCUAUUGUCACACAAAGUGAGAUCUCUCCUGCCAAACAAAUUUUCUUCAUAUACAAAAAUAAGGCAUCAGUGCCAGAUCCUCAAGAGCCUAACUUUCACCUUCAAGUAACCACCAAGAAUCGAUUUAUGAAUCAACUUUUGUAAUGUUAAAAUUGGGAGUGGAUUGUCUCCGGUGUAUUAUUCACCGGAUUUUCUCCAGUUUUAAUCA
rnacentral:lncRNA from 1 species